AUGCAAUUUCACUGUCAUACUGAAGAGUUCAGCCUGUUUUCUUUGCAGAUGGCUGGCAUAGAUUUAGUAGGAAGGGAUCACUACUAUGGUGUGUUUCCUCUCAGGGGUAAAUUAUUAAAUGUGAGAGAAGCAAGACAUAAUCGCCUAUUUAUUUCCUCAUGUAUGCUUCUAGGUAGCAAUAAUAAUGAUGACGAUAACAGUGUUUCAGUUCAAGUGCAUUCUGCUUUUGAUUACGCUAUUUCUUACAACAUAUGCUGGUGUGAUAAUAUGCUUGUAUUUUACAAUGUUGCGAUUCGAUUUAAAGAGUUUAUCCUUCAUAAUAAUCUUGCAAGUUUUUAUUUGCCAAAUCAUUGGAAAUGGUAUUUGGUGUUGCAAUUCUGCUCCUAA
rnacentral:rRNA from 1 species